rnacentral:rRNA from 1 species
AUGAACGCUGGCGGCGUGCCUAAUACAUGCAAGUCGAGCGAACAGACGAGGAGCUUGCUCCUCUGACGUUAGCGGCGGACGGGUGAGUAACACGUGGAUAACCUACCUAUAAGACUGGGAUAACUUCGGGAAACCGGAGCUAAUACCGGAUAAUAUAUUGAACCGCAUGGUUCAAUAGUGAAAGACGGUUUUGCUGUCACUUAUAGAUGGAUCCGCGCCGCAUUAGCUAGUUGGUAAGGUAACGGCUUACCAAGGCAACGAUGCGUAGCCGACCUGAGAGGGUGAUCGGCCACACUGGAACUGAGACACGGACCAGACUCCUACGGGAGGCAGCAGUAGGGAAUCUUCCGCAAUGGGCGAAAGCCUGACGGAGCAACGCCGCGUGAGUGAUGAAGGUCUUCGGAUCGUAAAACUCUGUUAUUAGGGAAGAACAAAUGUGUAAGUAACUAUGCACGUCUUGACGGUACCUAAUCAGAAAGCCACGGCUAACUACGUG